CAUAAACCCAACCCCUCACUCCCCAACUCUUAAAAACUCAAAACCCCAAAACACAAAGAAAAACAAAUACUCACAUCCAACUCAAAGCUUCUCCACCAAAAACUUCAUAACUUUCUUAGCAAUGGCACAAAUCAGCAUGUCCAGGGCCUUCUUCUUCGUCCAAAUGCUGGUCUUGGUCGUCUUGGCGGCAACGGUUUCGGCUCAGGAGAGUGCGCCGGCACCGGCACCGGCACAGAUGGAUGCCGGGGCGGGUUACUCUUUGCCUGUAAACGGCGCAGCUGUUGGAGCGUCGCUUAUGGUCUCAGUUUUUGCCUUGUUCAAGCACUACUUGAAUUAAUUUGUUUAGAGUGAGAUACGGCAAGCUUGGAUUCAUUGGAAAUUUGUUAUGCAUUGGUUUUUU
rnacentral:lncRNA from 1 species